UGGGGAAUAUUGCGCAAUGGGCGAAAGCCUGACGCAGCGACGCCGCGUGAGGGAUGAAGGCCUUCGGGUCGUAAACCUCUGUCAGAGGGGAAGAACCUGCGCUGUUCUAAUCAGCGGCGCACUGACGGUACCCUCAAAGGAAGCACCGGCCAACUCCGUGCCAGCAGCCGCGGUAAUACGGAGGGUGCGAGCGUUAAUCGGAAUCACUGGGCGUAAAGCGCGCGUAGGCUGUUUUGUAAGUCAGGGGUGAAAUCCCACCGCUCAACGGUGGAACUGCCUUUGAAACUGCGGAACUGGAGUACGGGAGAGGGCGGCGGAAUUCCAGGUGUAGGGGUGAAAUCCGUAGAUAUCUGGAGGAACACCGGUGGCGAAGGCGGCCGCCUGGUCCGCAACUGACGCUGAGGCGCGAAAGCGUGGGUAGCAAACAGGAUUAGAUACCCUGGUAGUCCACGCUGUAAACGAUGGAUACUAGGUGCUGGGG
rnacentral:rRNA from 1 species